rnacentral:rRNA from 1 species
UACGUAGGCAGCGAGCGUUGUUCGGAGUUACUGGGCGUAAAGCGUGCGUAGGCGGUUUUGUAAGUUUGGUGUGAAAUCUCCCGGCUCAACUGGGAGGGUGCGCCGAAAACUGCAAGGCUGGAGUGUGGGAGAGGUAGGCGGAAUUCCUGGUGUAGCGGUGAAAUGCGUAGAUAUCAGGAAGAACACCUAUGGCGAAGGCAGCUCUCUGGGACGGUACUGACGCUGAGACGCGAAAGCGUGGGGAGCGAACAGG